rnacentral:rRNA from 1 species
CCUACGGGUGGCAGCAGUGGGGAAUAUUGCACAAUGGGGGAAACCCUGAUGCAGCGACGCCGCGUGAGUGAAGAAGGAAUUCGUUAUGUAAAGUUCUAUCAUCAGGGAAGAACAUGACCGUACCUGAGUAAGAAGCCCCGGCUAACUGCGUGACAGCAGCCGCGGUAAUACGUUGGGGGGGAGCGUUCUCCGGAUUUACUGGGUGGAACGGGAGCGUAGACGGCAGUGCAAGUCUGGAGGGAAAGGCGGGGGCUCAACCCCCGGACUGCUCUGGAUACUAGCCGGCUGGAGUGCAGGAGAGGUAAGUGGAAUUCCUAGUGAAGCGGUGAAAUGCGUAGAUAUAAGGAAGAACACCAGAGGCGAAGGCGGCUUACUGGACUGUAACUGACGUUGAGGCACGAAAGCGUGGGGAGCAAACAGGAUUAGAUACCCGGGUAGUC